GACGAACGCUGGCGGCGUGCUUAACACAUGCAAGUCGAACGGAAAGGCCCUGCUUGCAGGGUACUCGAGUGGCGAACGGGUGAGUAACACGUGGGUGAUCUGCCCUGCACUUCGGGAUAAGCCUGGGAAACUGGGUCUAAUACCGGAUAGGAGCCAUUUUUAGUGUGAUGGUUGGAAAGUUUUUUCGGUGUAGGAUGAGCUCGCGGCCUAUCAGCUUGUUGGUGGGGUAAUGGCCUACCAAGGCGGCGACGGGUAGCCGGCCUGAGAGGGUGGACGGCCACAUUGGGACUGAGAUACGGCCCAGACGCCUACGGGAGGCAGCAGUGGGGAAUAUUGCACAAUGGGCGCAAGCCGGAUGCAGCGACGCCGCGCGGGGGAGGACGGCCUUCGGGUUGUAAACUCCUUUCGCUAGGGACGAAGCUUUUUGUGACGGUACCUAGAUAAGAAGCACCGGCUAACUACGUG
rnacentral:rRNA from 1 species